rnacentral:misc_RNA from 1 species
GUGAGUCAUCGAAUCUUUGAACGCACCUUGCGCUCCUUGGUAUUCCGAGGAGCAUGCCUGUUUGAGUGUCAUUAAAUUCUCAACCUCCCCAACUUUUGUUGUGUUUGGAGGCUUGGAAGUGGGGGCUUGCAGGUCCACAUCCGUGGUCUGCUCCUCUGAAAUGCAUUAGUGGGUUAGUCCCCUAAUCUAUUGGUGUGAUAAUUAUCUACGCCGUGGAUUGGGAUGGCUGUUGAAGACCUGCUUCUAACCGUCCUUCUCGGACAAUUCUUGACAAUUUUGACCUCAAAUCAGGUAAGACUACCCGCUGAACUUAAGCAUAUCAAUAAGCGGAGGA